UGCCUUCUACGACCGAUCUCUUUGUCAUUGCCGUCCCUGGCGAGAACUGCCCAAACAGCUGUGAAGUUUUCGCUCAAAGGAUGGCAGAAGAUAGAUCUAUUGAUGGCUACAGGAGAUUUUGGGAUACAGGUGUGUGAUACCAAGACCCUUCUAUCGGUUUAAUCAUGAAGAAAAAACCUCAGCCCCUUACAGAUCGGUAAAGAAUCAGUAGAAGCUAUGGUUUGUUUGCGGACUACAAAUAAUAAUUUCGAGGACUUCGUCUCGAUGUGAGAUCUUUAUGCCUUGCAAAGUAUAGACAUGGAGAGAACCAAGAACCUGUAAUCAAAAUGCAAAAGAAGACAACAACCUUGACUGGACAAAAGACGUUUAAUACGGCUUAAUUGACUCGGCAAUGACAUGGACCUGUAUCGAUCUAAAUUGGGGUUUUGAUUCUGCAUACCAAGAUAAACCGAGGUAUUAUCUAAACUGAAAUUGGACGAGGUAUUAUCUAAACUGAAAUUGGAUGUUUAAGUUUAAUUAUGAAAAUCUAUGUAGGAGUGUCUCUAUUAACUCAUUCGAUUCAGUAGACAAAAAUGAACUUAGGUAGUAUCACAAUUGAAUUCGAUGUUUUAUGUUUUAGAUUUAAGAUUGACAACAGCGAUGAUUACGAUGGUUUUGUAAUGUUAUGGUUCAGUACUGGUUUUGCAAUAAUAUGUUUUAGUAAGUAUUUAAAACGAUAUGAUGUGGUUUAUAAUUGGUUUGUCAUUGAACGGUUUAUUAAUACACAAAACGUUUGUCUUGGUUUAGAAAAUAAAUCAAAACUCUGUGUUUUAAAGGCAGUGGCAUAAGGAUGUAAUAUUUGUG